rnacentral:rRNA from 1 species
AGGACGAACGCUGGCGGCGUGCUUAACACAUGCAAGUCGAGCGGUGAUCCUCCUUCGGGAGGUGAUCAGCGGCGAACGGGUGAGUAACACGUGGGCAACCUGCCCCUCACACUGGGAUAACCUCGGGAAACCGGGGCUAAUACCGGAUACGACAUCGAGCGGCAUCUCUUGAGGUGGAAAGCUCCGACGGUGAGGGAUGGGCCCGCGGCCUAUCAGCUUGUUGGUGGGUAAUGGCCUACCAAGGCGACGACGGGUA